rnacentral:lncRNA from 10 species
GGCGAGGCGAGGCCUGCGGAGCGGAGGAAGACAAACAUAAAGAUGAAGUGCUUAAUUCAAGGUCACACAAUGUCGGGGAUGGACCUCCAGAUUUCCUUACUGACCUGCAUUAUCUUGUGGAUACCUGAGUGAAUUCCACACCACCCAUUUUAUAGAUGAAACCACUGAGACAUGGAGCAAUUGACUGAGUAGUCACUGCCCCACCCCUGCCUGGAGCCUCACACAUGACUCGCCUCCUCUCAGUGACCACAGGUUGGUUGAGGGGUUUAACAAGGCUAAGAAGGUGAGACGUGGUCUUGUAACACAGUGGUUAAGAAUGUGACUUUGGAGCCAGCCUGCUAGGGGCUGAAUUCUGACUCAGCCAUUUACUAACUGUGUGACCUUAGGGAGGAGGACCUGGUUGAUAGAAGAAUUUAUCUCGUAGUCUUAACAUCCACUGUAAUUCCAAACUUUGAGGACGAUAGAGAUCAGUGGGCUUUGACUGCCCAGCAUGCAGUCUCCAUUCUUAGGUCACAGAAUUUUCCACACUCCUUGACAGAGGUGCUUAACCCUUAUCCAUCAGCAUUCUCAGACAGCACCUCCGGUUAGGGACAGUAUCUGACCGUCCGACAUCCCUGCAGCCCCCAUGUGUCACACAGACUCAGCCUCAGGUAGAUGGUUUCCGUAGAUGGUGGCUUUCUUUGGACCCUUGACAUCAACCAGUUACUAUUUGACUCUUCUGCAGAACCCCAUGUUGACCCCUGCUUUGAGGUGGCAGAGUUAACACUACUCUUCGUUAUAAGCUCUCGUCUGGGGCAACUCAGAAGAACGGGACCAGAUGUGCAGAGGUAAUGAAUACCA